AGUGAACGCUGGCGGUAGGCCUAACACAUGCAAGUCGAACGGCAGCACAGGAGAGCUUGCUCUCUGGGUGGCGAGUGGCGGACGGGUGAGGAAUACACCGGAAUCUACUCUGUCGUGGGGGAUAACGUAGGGAAACUUACGCUAAUACCGCAUACGACCUACGGGUGAAAGCAGGGGACCUUCGGACCUUGCGCGAUUGAAUGAGCCGAUGUCGGAUUAGCUAGUUGGCGGGGUAAAGGCCCACCAAGGCGACGAUCCGUAGCUGGUCUGAGGGGAUGAGCACCCACACUGGAACUGAGACACGGUCCAGACUCCUACGGGAGGCAGCAGUGGGGAAUAUUGGACAAUGGGCGCAAGCCUGAUCCAGCCAUACCGCGUGGGUGAAGAAGGCCUUCGGGUUGUAAAGCCCUUUUGUUGGGAAAGAAAUCCAGCUGGCUAAUACCCGGUUGGGAUGACGGUACCCAAAGAAUAAGCACCGGCUAACUUCGUGCCAGCCGCCGCGGUAA
rnacentral:rRNA from 1 species